UAGAAAGCAAGCUUCCUUCAUGUUUAGAAUG
rnacentral:piRNA from 1 species